rnacentral:rRNA from 1 species
GCCUAGCCGUAAACAAUUAACUUACACCUAAAAGCGCCAGGGAAUUACGAGCAAUGCUUAAAACCCAAAGGAUUUGACGGUGUCCCACCCACCUAGAGGAGCCUGUUCUUUAAUCGAUGACCCCCGCUAUACCUGACCACUCCUAGCUUUUCAGUCUGUAUACCUCCGUCGAAAGCUUACCAUGUGAAUGUUCUAGUGGGCCGAAUGACCCCCAUCAACACGUCAGGUCAAGGUGCAACUCACGGAGUGGGAAGUAAUGGGCUACAAUUUCUAAUUUAGAACAAACGGAAAACUGCAUGAAACUGCAGUCAUGAAGGCGGAUUUAGUAGUAAAAAGAAAAUAAAGAGUUCUUUUUAACCCGGCUCUGGGACGCGUACACACCGCCCGUCACCCUCUUCGAUAAUAUUCUCUCAAGUUCUUAACCCUCUAUUUCUACGCUAGAAGAGGCAAGUCGUAACAUGGUAAGUGUACUGGAAAGUGCACUUGGACUACACAAAAUGUAAUUUAACUAAAUCCCCUCGCUUACACCGAGACGCUAUCUGUUUAACCCAGAUCAUUUUGAGCCUAAAAUCUAGCCCACACAAAUCUUAUGUAAACCUAAACCCACUGUCUUAUAACAAAACAUUUUUAUAUUUUAGUACAGGAGAUCGAAAAAAUUUUUUAGAGCUUCAGAUAAAGUACCGCAAGGGAAUGAUGAAAUAAAAAUGAAAUAACUCUAAAGCCCUAAAUAGCAGAGACAAAACCUCG